UUCAAACGCGGACGCCCCUUUAACGGCCGGUUGCUGCCGCCGCCAUUGUGUCCAGUCGGCCGUGGUGAGGUGACCGUCGCGGGCUCGUUAUGCGCAGCUUUGGAAGGAGACUGUUAUUGGAAGAAACUAAAUGUACAUUUCUCCGUUAUGAAGGUCCAACCCAGAGCACCCCACUCCCACUGUUCUGAAGACGGCGCCCCCACUGGGCAAACAAAGGCAACGCAGGCCACACGUUAAAAGCUCCACAUCCGACACUGGCCGUUCAGCACCAUCCCACACAUCUUCUCCUCGCGCUGAGACCGGGUUCCCCAUCAUCCGGACCCCGCAGGCGGAUCUCCUGCAGUUCCACUGAUCGAGACCCCGAACCAGCAGAGCUCCGCGCGCCCUCGGACACACACCCCCUUUGAGGUAGGUAACUGAGCACGGGGGACACCCCCCAGGAAGAGGGACGAUGUCGGGUCCACUUU
rnacentral:lncRNA from 1 species